UACAGAGGGGGCGAGCGUUGUUCGGAAUUACUGGGCGUAAAGGGCGCGUAGGCGGCUUGCUAAGUCGGACGUGAAAUCCCCUGGCUCAACCAGGGAACUGCGUCCGAUACUGGCGAGCUUGAAUCCGGGAGAGGGAUGCGGAAUUCCAGGUGUAGCGGUGAAAUGCGUAGAUAUCUGGAGGAACACCGGUGGCGAAGGCGGCAUCCUGGACCGGCAUUGACGCUGAGGCGCGAAAGCCAGGGGAGCAAACGGG
rnacentral:rRNA from 1 species